rnacentral:lncRNA from 1 species
AGACGUUUAUGCAGAAUCAAGGAGAAGCAAAGUUUGAAAUAUACAAAGCAGGAAGCUGGUCUCUGGAAAAUUCUUCCAAAGUCAGAUAUGUAAAAUCGUAAGCAGAGGACUUUGUUUUCAAUGACAGCUAGUCAAAACAGAAGUUGUCUCCUUUCAGGAAUAUAGCACGCCAUGCUGUGUAUACAAUUAUACAGGCCUCAUACAUUUUCCUUUCCUCCUUGAUGAGAAUUCUGCAAAAGAGAUUUAUUGGAAUUCUCAUGUUUUAACCUAUGGUUGUGGUAUUUAUCAUCAUUCUAAAGUUCUAUUUUUUUUGAGGUUUAUCUUCUCAUUCUAAAUAACUGUUCAGUUUUAUACCUAAUUAUAUAUUCUUGGUUUUGAAUUUUUUUGCUUAAGAAGGGCUCCUCAAAUUGUAUAACAUCAGGUUCCAGAAGAUCUGUGUAAGCCACUGACUGUCCCUGGGGUUGUAGUCAGCCUGGUCUUCUCUUUUUUCUAAAUUGAGACGGAGUUUCACUCUUGUUGCCCAGGCUAGAGUGCAGUGGCUCUAUCUCGGCUCACUGCAACAUCUGCCUCCCAGGUUCAAGUGAUUCUCCUGCCUCAGCUUUCCAGAUAGCUGGGAUUACAGGCAUCCACCAUCACACCCGCUAAUUUUUUGUAUUUUUAGUAGAGACAGGGUUUCACCAUGUUGGCCAGGCUGGUCUCAAACUCCUGACCUCAGGUGAUCCACCUGCCUUGGCCUUCCAAAGUGCUGGGAUUACAGGCAUGAACCAUUACGCCUGGCCAGGCUGGUCUUCUUAAAGCAGAAGGCUAGUAGGUGACGGCCCCCUAAUUGGAAUACUUUGACAACCUUUAUCCUUCAUAAACUGACAUCCACUGCCCUCCUCCUACCUUUCUCAUGCUAUAGACCAGCCAUGUGCACACUGACAGCUCCUGGGACACACAGCUUCAUUGUUCGCCCCUCACCUCCUUUGACCAUGUGGAUCCCUGUAAUCCCAAUGACUACUUCAGUAUUUG